rnacentral:rRNA from 1 species
AUUGAACGCUGGCGGCAGGCCUAACACAUGCAAGUCGAGCGGAUGAAGGGAGCUUGCUCCUGGAAUCAGCGGCGGACGGGUGAGUAAUGCCUAGGAAUCUGCCUGGUAGUGGGGGAUAACGUCCGGAAACGGGCGCUAAUACCGCAUACGUCCUGAGGGAGAAAGUGGGGGAUCUUCGGACCUCACGCUAUCAGAUGAGCCUAGGUCGGAUUAGCUAGUUGGUGGGGUAAAGGCCUACCAAGGCGACGAUCCGUAACUGGUCUGAGAGGAUGAUCAGUCACACUGGAACUGAGGCACGGUCCAGACUCCUACGGGAGGCAGCAGUGGGGAAUAUUGGACAAUGGGCGAAAGCCUGAUCCAGCCAUGCCGCGUGUGUGAAGAAGGUCUUCGGAUUGUAAAGCACUUUAAGUUGGGAGGAAGGGCAGUAAGUUAAUACCUUGCUGUUUUGACGUUACCAACAGAAUAAGCACCGGCUAACUUCGUG